rnacentral:lncRNA from 1 species
UAAUUUGUUGCUGUUGAGAUUCUCCCAUAACCAAACCCUGGUAGUAAUAUCCAAAGCAGAGAGUUGCUAAGCCGUAGAAUCAACAGCAUUCAAGCUUCAAGCAAUUAGUAAGUUCAUAUUCUUAUUAUUCAGUAAUCACAGUAUAACUUUCUUAUUGAUUAGAUCACAACUGGUGUCACAAGCUAGAUAAACUACAAAGGUGCUGAACAAUCUAACAAUUCACUGCAAAGUCCAACAAAUCUGUGCUAUAGGAUAUUUUCAAUUUGCUAAAUAAAACAUCGGUAAUCAGAUUACAAAAGUCAAGAAAUGAGAGUGACCAUUUCUCAAAAGUAAAGAGCUGUGGUUUUGAUCAUCAUCUUCCAUUAAAUAAGCCACUGAAAACUUGACUGUUACCCCCAAGUUGUGCUUCCCACUCAGUAGAGUUUGUCACAAUUUGAGAGAGGUGCACUACAAUCUCUCUCAUUUCUGGCCUUCCCACUGCUUCUUCACUCAAACACCACUCUGAUAUUUCCGCCAUCUGCAACACUCAUCAGGUUUCACAUCAAUAUCAGAAUUACUGACAGCUCCAAAGGUAAUCUAUAGUACCCUUUUAGAUCUGCUGCUUAAAACUGUAUAUAAAAUUGAAGAUAAACCCUGAAUUGCAAAUGGAUGUGUGUGUAUGAAAUCAAAUACCUUGAAUAUCUCUUCUAUAGGAUAGGUGCCCUGGAGACUAGGGUCUGUGAUAGCCCCCAAAGCUAAUUCUGGGUGAUCAUCAUGGAACACCUUUUUUAUCUGGUAUUAUGAAAGAAAUCAAAUUUAGAUUUGCAAUGAGUGAGCACCAUGUACAAAGAUAGAUACUUUAUGCAUUUAUGCAGUGAUGGGCAUUUGGGGGUUUUGAGCUUUGGAAGUUUCGCAUUUGGGGAUUAGGGUUUCAUUGCUUGAGGAUUUUAAGUUUUGGGUUUUUUUUUUUGGAGUCUGGGAUAUUGUUGCUUAGAUUUCUGUUUUGUUGAAGAUUCAGUUAAAACUUACUACUGUAAUCAAAGAUUUCAUCUUUGCAGGCUCCCGGUGGUCACGGAACAGUGCACGUUGCCCUGUAAUCAGUUCUCCAAGUACCACGCCAAAUGCAAAUACAUCAGUCUUGUGAGUCACCUGGAGCUCCUGCACAGAUCUUCACAAUAACAUGGAUGGUAAACUGUAUAUACUUACUGCUCUAGUAUCAUUUGUUAGUAGUAUAAACUAUAAAGUAAUAAACCAGCAAAGACAUUAAAACUUACUCUGGGGGGAGAUAGCCCGGUGUUCCAACCAGUCUAGUGGCAAUAAUAUCUUCUUCAUUGGUUCUUCCAACAAGCUUUGCCAAACCAAAAUCUGCUACCUAAUGAUAUGCAAUUUAAAAUAACAACUAAAGAACUAAACAUGUAUUGUAAGAAAGUUGCAUAAGAGAUGGUUGGAGUAGAACAAAUUGUCUAGAUAAGUUAUAGAAUCUAGGAUAACUUAGUCAGGCAGACAAUAGCGAUGGACUAGAUGAUGUUAAUGAAGUCAUAAAUUUGGUACCUUUGCUCUGAGACCCUCAUCAAGUAGAAUGUUACUUGUCUUUAUAUCACGGUGCACAUAUCGGGCUUUUGUGUGGUCAUGAAUGUAUUCAAUACCUUUUGCAGUAUCCAGUGCAAUUUGUGUUCUUGCAGUCCAGGAGAGAGGCUGAUGACCUGAUUAUGACAUAUUAGUUUUCUUUAACAAUGCAUUGUAGGUACUUAAGAAUCUCAGCAUUUACUUAAGCUAAGCAAUGCGCGCAAUUUGAGUACCUUUAAGCAAUGGAUCAUGAAGAUGUUCGCUCAGUGAUCCAUUCUGAACAUACUCAUAGACCAGGUAGAGGUGGUCAUCUCCACUGGCAUACCCCAAAAGCUCCACCUAAAACAAAGAAUUUACAAAUGAAUGUACGAAAGUCUAGCAUAUAAGAGGUCAUUUAUUUAGAUUGGUUGCUCACCACAUUUAUGUGAUGGAUCUUGCAUAAGACCUUUAGCUCUGCAAAGAACUCUUUGCACUUAUUAGAUCUCAUCUUCUUUAUGG